GGGCGUCGUGGGCACGAGGCAGCAAUGCCUCGGCGCCGCCGGCGCUCCUCCUUCUGGUUGGCCCGGCUGCCCUUCGCUGGGUGGCCGGUGUCCGGCCAGGACGUUUACUUUGAAAAAAUUAGAGUGUUUAAAGCAGGCGUUCGCUUGAAUACAUUAGCAUGGAAUAAUGGAAUAGGACCCUGAUCCUAUUUUGUUGGUUUUCGGGAUCGAGGUA
rnacentral:rRNA from 1 species